GACAGAGGGUGCAAACGUUGCUCGGAAUCACUGGGCGUAAAGGGCUCGUAGGCGGCCAACUAAGUCGGACGUGAAAUCCCCAGGCUCAACCUGGGAACUGCGUCCGAUACUGGAUGGCUUGAAUUCGGGAGAGGGAUGCAGAAUUCCAGGUGUAGCGGUGAAAUGCGUAGAUAUCUGGAGGAAUACCGGUGGCGAAGGCGGCAUCCUGGACCGACAUUGACGCUGAGGAGCGAAAGCUAGGGGAGCAAACGGG
rnacentral:rRNA from 1 species